AUUUCAAAUCCUCAUUAAUUAUUUAUAUACUUAAUAUAUAUAUAACUUUUAACGUUUAUUCUGAAGAAAAAAGAAAAUAUCGAUGAGGGAAUGUCGUCAUUCGUAAGGAAGAUUUACAAUGAGACGAGCAAUUUAUAAACAACAGCAUUGAGAACAGCAGAUUACAUUUAUCAAUUCAAGGCCACACGAUAGGAAGUCCUAUUGUGUGUGAUUUGCCUUUGGGCAUGUCCUUCUAUACGUAUAGAUGAAAUCACAACCGCAGAUAGACCAAAGAAAAUAAGAAAGUUUCUUAUCCCAACGAAAAAUAUGAUUUAUGAGUCAACUUUUUUGAAGAGAUCUUUACGAUCACUUCGAACUGACGAUCUUUCGGUCAACCCGUCUGCUGUUGCUUCUUGCCAGGUCAAAGACCCAACAGCCCUUAGAAGGCCGUCUUCAGACUUUCGGUGAAAGUACAUACGUUUCGUCCUUGAACUGGAAGCCUUCGAACGAUCGACGCAGUGAAAUAUUUCAUGGUGUAUCAUAUAAUCUUCGAAAGGAGAAACAUGCUAUAAUCGCAAAGGUACAUUUUCCUGUUUGCAAAAGCGAGCUCUAAUGGAAACGUUCCUCAAAGAAGAAGUUUCUUAUCUUCUAGAACAUUUACACAGAAUUGAUCAAAGUUUCGGCUGCUUCCUGAUACAUCAUUGCCAUUCUCGAGGCCGUGAUGUCUGGUCUAUAUCCUUGAUGCAUACAAGCACAAUAAAGUGGAUGUAAUAUAGUACACAUAGGACUUUUUCGAACUCUGAGAGAAACCGUAACAUCUGAAUUAGGUUAACGAGUGUACGAGGUAAUGUCAUUUUGAGGUAGUCCAAAACUUUUCUUAAAUGAAAAGCAUGACGUAGUGGUGAAAAUUGUUCAGGAUUGUAACAUUGAGCCGAACAAAUAUCAUUUGCACCGAAGAAAAUAGUGAUCAACUGCAAUAAAAUUUUUUUUAGUGUUUGGUAAAAUUAAUCCUAGGAUCAUUUCUUAUUCUUUGCACGAGAAUUCUUGCUUGUUUUAUGGCAUCUUCGGUAGCUGCUACAGGAAAAGCGAUAUUUAAUCUCGCUUUUGAUGAAAUAAAUUCGCCUGUACCGGUCGAGUACCCAGUUAGAUUUGGAUUGAAUACCUGUUGUCAAAUUAGAAAAGAAGAAACAAUUAAAUUCUCUUUAUCUGCUGCAACGAAAAUAAAAUGGACUUCUAAUUUAUAACAAGUCUAUAAAAAACCAAAUCUUUAUAGCGUCUUCAUAAUAAAAAUAUUAAUAAUGAAUUCUGAAUACAAUGAUACCUUCAGUAAAUUCGGUAAUGUCAAAAAUCUUCGCCAAUUAUCUUGGCCACCUAUGCACCAGCUAACACCACGUGCUUCAAUAAAAGCUCCAAUCGCAAAUUCUUCCAAAGCUCCACUUCCAGCUACAAGAGAAUCACCGAGACCACCUAUUACGUCAAUAUCACCCGGUCUUAGUCUAUGAACAUUCUCCGCGAACCUGCCGAAACGAGUGUUACAAGGAAACGAUACCGUCUCUGGUAUGGUUGGUUGCCUUCGUACUCCAUCGAAGAUCAUUGGAUAAACUAUACCAUUACUAUUGAAAUCUUCCUACAAGAAGAGAA